rnacentral:rRNA from 1 species
AACGGGCGCUAAUACCGCAUACGUCCUGAGGGAGAAAGUGGGGGAUCUUCGGACCUCACGCUAUCAGAUGAGCCUAGGUCGGAUUAGCUAGUUGGUGGGGUAAAGGCCUACCAAGGCGACGAUCCGUAACUGGUCUGAGAGGAUGAUCAGUCACACUGGAACUGAGACACGGUCCAGACUCCUACGGGAGGCAGCAGUGGGGAAUAUUGGACAAUGGGCGAAAGCCUGAUCCAGCCAUGCCGCGUGUGUGAAGAAGGUCUUCGGAUUGUAAAGCACUUUAAGUUGGGAGGAAGGGCAGUAAGUUAAUACCUUGCUGUUUUGACGUUACCAACAGAAUAAGCACCGGCUAACUUCGUGCCAGCAGCCGCGGUAAUACGAAGGGUGCAAGCGUUAAUCGGAAUUACUGGGCGUAAAGCGCGCGUAGGUGGUUCAGCAAGUUGGAUGUGAAAUCCCCGGGCUCAACCUGGGAACUGCAUCCAAAACUACUGAGCUAGAGUACGGUAGAGGGUGGUGGAAUUUCCUGUGUAGCGGUGAAAUGCGUAGAUAUAGGAAGGAACACCAGUG